UUUGAAAUCUGGCUGUCUUCGAUAGUCCGAGUUGUAAUCUAUAGAAGCGUUUUCCGUGCUGAACUGUGUCUAAGUCCCUUGGAACAGGGUAUCAAAGAGGGUGACAAUCCCGUACUUGACACAAUCAUCAGUGCUCUGUGAUACGCUCUCUACGAGUCGAGUUGUUUGGGAAUGCAGCUCAAAAUGGGUGGUAAAUUCCAUCUAAAGCUAAAUAUUGGCGAGAGACCGAUAGCGAACAAGUACCGUGAGGGAAAGAUGAAAAGCACUUUGGAAAGAGAGUUAAACAGUACGUGAAAUUGUUGAAAGGGAAACGAUUGAAGUCAGUCGUGUUCAUUGGAUUCAGCCGGUCUUCGGUGUACUUCCUUUGAACGGGUCAACAUCAGUUUUGCCCGGUGGAUAAAGGCAGUAGGAAUGUGGCCUCUCCGGAGGUGUUAUAGCCUAUUGUCACAUACACUGGGGGAGACUGAGGACUGCAGCUCGCCUUUUGGCCGGGGUUCGCCCACGUUCGAGCUUA
rnacentral:rRNA from 1 species